rnacentral:lncRNA from 1 species
GAUUAUGCUACUUACGAAAGCUUUAGGUCAUCUAUUACUUUAUUUACCUAAAAGCAGAUUAUCACUUGAUGCUGCCAGCUCUUUAACAAUGUAAUGUACUAUUGGUUAUAUGACUUAUAUCACAACAGCAAAUCUAGAAAUUGAAGUUAUUAUUUACCUAAAAGUGCAUGAUAUCUUGGUGUUACCAGUUCUUCUUUAACAAUGUAAUGUACUUAUAUCACAACGGAAAAUCUAGAAUUCAAUGUUAUCAUAUAGCUUAUGAUGGUAAAGGGAUAAAAAUCUACAUUCAUAUUGAUAUAUGAGGGGAGGUGAAACAAGAAUGCCAGAAUCAAUAAGAACUUAUACCAAAGGGUAAUCAACCUACUUAAUUAUUGUCACUUUGCACUACUUAGACAAGAGGGGUUAUUGGCAUUUGAGAUGCGCUUCUUCUCCUUCCCAUUUUCUCCUUUUUUAGAAAGAAAUACUACAGAUACUACACUUCCCGUUGAAUCUCUUCCUAUUGUUCAUUAUUAAGGGAGAGAGAGGGGUAUUGCAGAGAGCAUACCAUGUAGUGAUGCAUACUCGGUGGACAGUGCUUGCAGCAAUCAAAGCAACGACUUCUGCUAUUAUGACUGCAAAGUAAAGACACCGUCUUCAAUUUUUGAAAAUAUAAAACACAAUACUGGAAGUUAAGGCAUGCAUGAAUGAAUUGUACAUGUGACACCAGAAAGAAUUGAAUGCCUAAUCCCAUGUUUCAUGCAAUUCUCAAGUAUAAAAAUGUAGAUGUUCUUAAAAGUUACACUUCCACUUAGUAUUCAUUCUGUUUUACUUGAAUUUUGAAUUCAAUUAAUAUAAAUUAUACAGUUUGUCAUCAACUUCCAUCAGCAACAUGUACUUACCAGCACCCCAGC